rnacentral:rRNA from 1 species
AGAGUUUGAUCAUGGCUCAGAUUGAACGCUGGCGGCAGGCCUAACACAUGCAAGUCGAGCGGUAGAGAGGUGCUUGCACCUCUUGAGAGCGGCGGACGGGUGAGUAAAGCCUAGGAAUCUGCCUGGUAGUGGGGGAUAACGCUCGGAAACGGACGCUAAUACCGCAUACGUCCUACGGGAGAAAGCAGGGGACCUUCGGGCCUUGCGCUAUCAGAUGAGCCUAGGUCGGAUUAGCUAGUUGGUGAGGUAAUGGCUCACCAAGGCGACGAUCCGUAACUGGUCUGAGAGGAUGAUCAGUCACACUGGAACUGAGACACGGUCCAGACUCCUACGGGAGGCAGCAGUGGGGAAUAUUGGACAAUGGGCGAAAGCCUGAUCCAGCCAUGCCGCGUGUGUGGAGAAGGUCUUCGGAUUGUAAAGCACUUUAAGUUGGGAGGAAGGGCAUUAACCUAAUACGUUAGUGUUUUGACGUUACCGACAGAAUAAGCACCGGCUAACUCUGUGCCAGCAGCCGCGGUAAUACAGAGGGUGCAAGCGUUAAUCGGAAUUACUGGGCGUAAAGCGCGCGUAGGUGGUUCGUUAAGUUGGAUGUGAAAUCCCCGGGCUCAACCUGGGAACUGCAUUCAAAACUGUCGAGCUAGAGUAUGGUAGAGGGU